rnacentral:rRNA from 1 species
UCGGUCCCUAUCCGUCGCGGGCGUAGGAAAUUUGAGAGGAUCUGUCCUUAGUACGAGAGGACCGGGAUGGACAUACCGCUGGUGUACCAGUUGUUCCGCCAGGAGCAUCGCUGGGUAGCUAAGUAUGGAUGAGAUAAACGCUGAAAGCAUCUAAGUGCGAAACUCACCUCGAGAUAAGAUUUCCCAUUACGUAAGUAAGUAAGAUCCCUGAAAGAUGAUCAGGUAGAUAGGAUGGAAGUGGAAGUGCUGCGAGGCAUGGAGCGGACCAUUACUAAUCGAUCGAGGACUUAACCAAG